GGCUUGUUGGUCUAUGGGUAUGAUUCUUACUUUGGUGUGAGAGCUCCUGGGUUCAAAUCCCAGAUGAGCCU
rfam:Alligator mississippiensis ScZkoYb_11, whole genome shotgun sequence.